rnacentral:lncRNA from 1 species
CUUAUCUUUCCAACAAGGUAUAAUUCAUUCAAAUCUGAUCACCUAGCAUAAGUUAUGAACUUUUAUUUACAAGCUGCUUAAUAAGGUCUUAAUCAGUCCAAUAGUGAUACUUGUUUACAGUAUCAAAAAACAUAUCAGAGGGAUGCAUUUUCAUACAAAUUCAAGUUUAAGUGUCACCUAUAAAGUUUUAGGUAUACUUAUUAAGAUUCAUUUGGCACUAGUCUUAACUAAUUUUAUUGAGUACAUAAUUAGUUAUAGUAUAAUCAAUUCACUCUAUUCCGGAUGCUCUAUUACUGUGUCCAAUUUAGAUUUACUUCUAUUUACAUUGUCUUACUGAUAGAGCAUAAUUUAGUCCAUUUUAUAUUAAUAUUAUUAAUGAAUAUUUACAUGAUUUCUGCUUAAUUUAUUGCUUUUAAUAUUAUUUUACAGAAAAUAGUGUAAAAGGACAAUUUGGAGAAAAUCCCCCUAAAACUGCCUUAUUUGGAGUAAAAGAGAGCAAGUCUGCCAAGCCAGAUUCAAGUCAAAAUAUUUUGGAAAUUAAAUAUUCAAGCUCAUUCUCUCACGUGGAUCAAGUCCAUUAUUGCACAUGGGCCCGCGCAUCCUCCGCAUGGACCGUUCACGCACACGGGAAUUCACGGCCCGUGCACACCCACGCUUCACGCCAUUGGGCCCGCGUCAUCAACUCCAGCACCUUUCACUUGCACAUGGCCCACACCAAUCCAUCAAUUCACGCGAAUGGACCAAGCAUAAAUCCUCAACCUUCACGCCGUGGCCCCCACCAGGCGCUCAACACUCACGCCCCAUCUCCCGCACACUCCUUCACCUUGGGCCAAGCGCGCAGAUGGACCAACACUCAUGCACAAGCUCAACGGGCAGCACUUCACAUGGACCAAGUGGACCCACCUUCAUCAUCCACGCUCACCAGCACUUCAUGUGGACAAAUCACGCACGAGGACCCACCGACGGCUUCAACGCUCUCACACGUAGACCAAAAUUUCCAAUUUAGCAUCGCUCCUCUGCACCUAUUUAAAGAGCUCUUCAGCGAACAAUUGGGAUGGAGAGAAUUUUCUCCAAUUCGGCAGUUUCCUCCAGCCUCGGCACAAGAAUUCCUUCGGUUUUUAUUUCUUUUCCCUUGUAUUUAUUUUAUGUUUUUAAUUUAGCCAAUGAGUGGCUAAUUUCUUUCAUCUAGUUGAAUAUUGGUUGAAAUUUUAGUUGGUUAAUGAGUUGUGAGAUUUGAUCAAAUAUUAUUUAAAUUUUGGAAAUUCAAUAUUCAUGCAAUUUCAUAUUUAAUUUUCAUAUUAUUUUGUUAUUGAGAUCUACGUUGAUUUUUUAUUGCAAAAUAAUUAUUUGUUAGUUUGAAUAAUUUAAGUCUGUAAUUGCUUGGGUUAUUCUUACAUGAGAACACUUGGGAUAAAACCCAAGGAAAUUGCAUGAUCUAGCGUUAUCUCCAUACGUUUGGGUAGUUAGGAUUGGAUCUCUCUAUUUCUUAAUGCAAUUGGCAAUUGUUUUGAUGCCUAAGGCCCAAGGACGUUCCUUGGCAAUUUGUUAAUUAGUAAUUAAUCAGAGGACGUUCCCUAAUUAAUUUAAUCAUAAGGAGAGAUAAUGGUGGUGAGAAGCGUCUUCCAUCUCCAUAAACUAAUCUAUUGAAUCAACCCAAAAGAACAAAGUGUCUGUGAUCAAUCCCAACAACUAAAGUGGAUCCAAUACUUCAACUAGAACUUUCUCAUUAUUGAUUGCUCUUUAUUUUAUUACUUGCUUUCCUUUAUUAUUCUCAAUUUUAGUUUACUACAAUCAAUCUCAAACCCCCCUAUUAUUUUGUUGACAGUUUUUUAUCCCAAUUUUCAGUUUAUCUCAUUUGAUCCCACUUUCAGUUUUUAUCUCAUUUUUUGUUUAUUGUUAUUUCAGUUAAUUCUCUUGGUCUUGUUGAGAAAAAUAAAUAAGUUUUCAAUUCUCUGUGGAUUCGAUCCUUUCACCACUAUUUGCAGUUGUAAAUUGUUGAUAACCAGAAAGGUUAUUUUUGACCAGCUUCGACAACCGCGAGUCAAAAAUUGGCGCCGUUGCCCGGGAAUUGAUUUUACUUGUUUAAUUUUCUUUUCAUGACCAGAUCUGAACGCAGGGGCACACUGCCCUUUGAUCCAGAAAUUGAACGCACUCUCAGAAGACUUAGAAAGCAAGCCGCAGAAGCUUCAUCUGAAGCAACCGAAUUUUACCAACAAGCUGCACCAAUGGCAGAACCUCAAGCACUAGCUCCUGCCCAUAAUGGACAUGCUGUUCAAGACCAAAUAGUUCAAGAAAAUCCAGCAGUUAGGCCCCAAGAAUAAAGAGAAAGAACCAUGAGGGAGUUAGCAAUACCCGUAGGUGAUCAUGCACCACUUUGCAUCGCCUACCCGCCUCUAACAGUUGCCUUUGAACUAAAAUCAGGUUUGAUUCAUCAUCACCCUAAAUUUAGAGGUUUGUAAAAUGAAAAUCCACACAAGCACUUGAAAGAAUUCAACAUUGUCUGUUCAUCUAUGACACCUCAAGGUGUUUCUGAAGAUCAUGUUAAAUUAAGAUCUUUCCCUUUUUCAUUAGAUGACUAUGCUAAAGAUUGGUUAUUUUAUUUGCCACCUAGAUCUAUAACUUCAUGGGCUGAUAUGGUCCAAACCUUUUUGGACAAAUACUUUCCCCCAUCUAAAUCAAUUGGCAUAAUAAGAGAAAUCACUAGCAUAAAACAAAAACCAACUGAAGACUUAUAUGAUUAUUGGGAAAGGUUUGAAAGACUUUGCACAGGUUGUCCACAACAUGAUAUGUCAGACAGGUCACUUAUGCAAUUCUUCUAUGGAGAAUUAACCCCUUCCGAAAGGAGAUAUAUUGACGUAGCUUGUGGAGGAUCCAUUGCAGGCAAAACACCAAGAGAGAUGAAAGAACUAAUCUCCACUCUUGCAGCCUCAUCUAGGCAAUAUGGAGAAGAAAAGCAAAGAGGAGUCUAUGAGGUAAGUACAUCCGCUUUUGAAUAUCAGGUUUCAAAACUGACUUCUCUUGUGGAAAAGAUUGUCCUUAGCCAAGCUCAACAAGCUCAAGCAAUUCCACCACCUAGGCCAUGUGGGAUCUGUGCCUAUGAAGGCCACCCAACUGAUCAAUGUCCCACAUUCCAAGAAGACCAUCACCAAGUCAAUGCUAUUGGAAGGUACAACAACCAGCCUAGACAUGAUCCAUAUUCUAAUACAUACAAUCCUAGUUGGAGAGACCAUCCCAAUUUCAGCUAUGGAAAGUCCAACAAUACUCAGAAUUACCAAAACUACCAAAGAGACCAAGGUCAACCAGCACCUUCAAGAUCAGACUAGCACCUUGAAAAGAUAAUGGAGUCCUUCGUAAGUACUUUACAGACCAUCACUCAGCGUCUGGACGGAUUGGACACAUCCGUUAGAAGAAUUGAAUCCCAAGGUAAGCUCCCUUCUCAAACUGAAACCAAUCCCAGACAAAAUGUCAGUGCCAUUACUUUGAGAAGUGGGAAAGAACUUCAAGAUGCUAGAUGUGAGGAAGAAAAGCGAAGACCAACACAAUCUGAAACCAUCCUUGUGCCCUCUGAAACACUUGCACAAGAGCCAAAGUCACCUGAAGCCUCUCCAACGCCAUCUGCAGCUCCCCCUGUACAAAAGACUAAUCCAAAGGUAAGCUUCCACAUUCCACUUCCUUUUCCGAAGAGAUUUGAAAGAACACAAAAAUAAAAAGAAGAAAAGGAGAUCCUUGAGACUUUCAGAAAAGUGGAAAUCAACAUACCACUGCUAGACGCUGUUAAGCAAAUUUUCAGGUACGCAAAAUUUCUAAAAGAGCUUUGCACUAAUAGAAGAAAGCUUGCUGAAAGAGAAAAAGUAAGUGUAGGUGAGGUAGUUACUGCAGUAAUCAAAAGAGAACUCCCUACUAAAUGCAAGGACAAAGGUAUGUUUGCUAUCUCUUGCAAAAUUGGGAAUGUUGGAAUUAAGAAAGCCAUGUGUGAUAUUGGUGCAUCCAUCAAUGUUAUGCCUCUCUCCAUCUAUAAAUCUCUCAAUGCAUGUGCACUCAAAGAAACAAGAGUUGUGAUUCAAUUAGCUGAUAGAUCUGUGGUAUAUCCCAUAGGUGUUCUAGAAGAUGUGUUAGUUCAAGUAAAUGAACUUGUCUUUCCUGCUGAUUUUUAUGUGAUUGAUACUAAGGAAGAUAGUUGCAAUGCUAGUUCUGACAUUCUUCUUGGACGUCCUUUCUUGAGUACUGCUAGAACUAAGAUUGAUGUGCAUGAUGGUACUCUCACUAUGGAAUUUGAAGGGGAAGUGAUUAAAUUUAAUGUCUAUGAUGCUAUGAAAUAUCCAUAUGAUAUGUCCCCUGUUUAUGAUCUUAAUAUUGUUGACUGCUUGAGCCAGGAAAUUUUUAAUGAAAAUCAAGAUGAUAUUCUUAACCGUGAUUUCUGCAGAGAUACUGGUCAGGUACAGAUUGAUAGCCAGACAGAGCCAGAACUAAAAGAAAUUGUCUGUAGCAUCCAAUAGAUAGUUUACAGUCAAGCAUAGAAUGAGGGAGACUCCCUCCAGAAAGAUGCGCAGAAGAGCCUUGCGCCAUCUGAAACACCUUCAUGCGCAACUCUUCAGCUCCCAACGCAAAGCUCACCCACCAAUCCUCUUCUGCAAUCCAGUUUUGCACACAAGGAGCCCCCUAAGGCCAGUCCUGCGCAAGGUAAGCAAUCUGAAACCCUUUCUGACAAGACUCCAACACAAGCAAGCUCUUCUAGUCCUCCUUUGCAACACCCUCCUGAAUCUGAAGAAUGUAAGGAUGAUCUCCUUGAACAAAUCUUCCUUGCUCAAACUGAUGAACCAUGGUACGCAGACAUGGUGAACUACUUGGCCACAGGUAACCUACCCUCUGACAUGCCAAGGCACACUAAAGACAAGAUAAAGAAAGAUGCCAAAUACUAUGUUUGGGAUGAGCCAUAUUUGUGGAAACAUUGUGCUGAUCAGAUGAUAAGGAGAUGUAUCCCAGAUCAAGAAAUAGCUUCUAUGCUUACUUUUUGUCAUUCAUAUAGCUGUGGUGGACACUUUGGUCCAAUAAAAAACUGCGCAUAAGAUACUUGAAAGUGGCCUAUUUUGGCCCAUUAUGUUUCGAGAUGCCUUUCUGUUUUGCAGAUCUUGUGCCAGAUGUCAACAAACUGGAAAUUUGAACAAAAGGAGUCAAAUGCCACAAAACCCCAUCAUGGUCUGUGACGUGUUUGAUGUAUGGGGUAUUGACUUCAUGGGCCCAUUCCCACCAUCCUUUGGAUACACUUACAUCAUCCUUGCAGUGGAUUAUGUGUCCAAAUGGGUGGAAGCUAGAGCAACAAAGACUGAUGAUGCUAAAGCAGUUAUAGACUUUGUGAAGACCAACAUUUUUGCCAGACAUGGAGCACCAAAAGCAAUCAUCAGUGAUAGGGGGACCCACUUUUGCAACAAGGUAGUAGGAAGUCUUCUCAAAAAGCACAAUGUGAUCCAUAGAACAUCCACAGCCUACCACCCUCAGACAAAUGGGCAAGCUGAAGUAUCCAAUAGAGAAAUCAAAGCCAUCCUUGAAAAGACGGUUUCUCCUAACCGAAAGGAUUGGAGCUCAAGAUUGGAGGAUGCUUUAUGGGCCUACAGAACAGCCUACAAAACCCGCAUAGGUAUGUCUCCUUAUUGAUUGGUCUAUCGAAAAGCUUGUCACCUUUCAGUUGAACUUGAAUACAAGGCAUAUUGGGCUAUAAAGAAUUGCAACAUGGACCUCAAAGAAGCUGAACACCAUCGCAAGUUACAACUACAAGAGCUAGAAGAGAUAAGACGAGAUGCAUAUGAGAACUUUUGGAACUACAAAGCAAAAACCAAAGCCUCCCAUGACAGUCAUCUUUCAAGAAAACAAUUUGAGGUUGGUGAUAAAGUUUUACUCUUUGACUCUCGUUUGAAAUUGUUUUCAAGAAAGCUACGAUCUAGGUGGAUUGGACCAUUCAUUAUGGAACAUGCCUACCCCCAUGGAGCUGUAGACAUCAAAAGCAUAGAAACUGGAAAAAUCUUCAAAGUAAAUGGGCAUCGAUUGAAACCAUAUUAUGAAGGAUUCGCAGUACAAGUAGUGAAAGAAAUUCCACUCUCUCGGUCUAAGUAGUAAUCAUGCCAUGCACACCACACCCUAGGGGAGUACUCAGUUUCAUUUGUUCUCUUCUCUUCUCUUCUCUUUUUCUCUCUUCUUUUACAUUGAGGACAAUGCAUGAUUUAAGUGUGGGGGUGCAUAUAUCUUCCUCUCCUUCUCUUCUUCUUUCUUUCUAUCUUCUUCUUCUCUCUUUUGCAAUUUCUCCUUUCAGAAUUUUCAAAAAAAAAAAUAAAAAAAUAAAAAAAAAAAUAAAAAAAUAAAAAAAAUUAAAAAAAAAAAUUUCUUCUUCUCUCUUUUGCAAUUUCUCCUUUCAGAUUUUUCAAAAAAAAAAAAUAAAAUAAAAUAAAAAUUUAAAAAAAAAAUUUCAGUUAUACGAUUUAUCCUUUCAGUUUUCUUUCAGUUUAUUUUUGUUUUCAAUAAUACACACACAAACUCAACCAUCUUCUUCUUUUUGUUUUACUCUACUCAAAAUUGAUGAACUAUGUUGGAUGAGCUUUUCUUUCCAUGACCCCAUUGAUGUUAUGACUCUUUAAACUUAUGUUGAAUCAAUUGCAGUGAGUUAUAUUCAUACUUGAGAAUUGCUUUUUGAAUUGAAUCUUUGAGUUUGCCAUGGUGAAAAAUAUAUUGAUGACCCUCAAUUGAUUGAGAAUAAAUUAAAAUUGUGUGAAUGAACUUAAUGUGACAUGACAUGAUUUAGCGAUUGGUGUUGAUUUGCCCAAAUCAUUGAGAGAAAGCAAAUUCAGCAAAGGCAAAGACCUCAAAAGAACAAAUUGAAAAUUGUUCCAAUGGUCAAAAGACUAUGAAUAAGGCAAGUAGCCACUUGGAUAGGUGACCAACUGAAAAAUAUAAACCUUCAAAUCAAAAAUAGGUUGGUGACCUUUCCAAGCAAGAUCUAAAGUGCAAAAGCCUGAAUAAAGUACUUCAAGGUAAGGGCAAGUCAAUCCAAAAGCUAGAAAAAGUCUUAAACAAAUUAAUGUGCAUGUCUCUCUCGAGGAAAACAAAUCCUAGCCAUGGUAAGCAAAGGGAAACAAGGAAAGGAGGUAAGUAAUCUUCAUGCAUAUAUUAUUCACUGCAAUGCUUCAAAAUAGGUGUUUAGAGUAAGAGUUUAAGUGGAAAUAAGGAUCUAGAGUGAGAAAGCUUGUUUGACUAUGUUUAUUUGCUUGAGGACAAGUAAAAGGCUAAGUAUGGGGCUAUUUGAUAGAGCAUAAUUUAGUCCAUUUUAUAUUAAUAUUAUUAAUGAAUAUUUACAUGAUUUCUGUUUAAUUUAUUGCUUUUAAUAUUAUUUUGCAGAAAAUAGUGUAAAAGGACAAUUUGGAGAAAAUCCCCCUAAAACUGUCUUAUUUGGAGUAAAAGAGAGCAAGUCUGCCAAGCCGGAUUCAAGUCAAAAUAUUUUGGAAAUUAAAUAUUCAAGCUCAUUCUCUCACGUGGAUCAAGUCCAUUCUUGCACAUGGGCCGGCGCAUCCUCCGUAUGGACCGUUCACGCACACGGGAAUUCAUGGCCCGUGCACACCCACGCUUCACGCCAUUGGGCCCGCGUCAUCAACUCCAGCACCUUUCACUUGCACAUGGCCCACACCAAUCCAUCAAUUCACGCGAAUGGACCAAGCACAAAUCCUCAACCUUCACGCCGUGGCCCCCACCAGGCGCUCAACACUCACGCCCCAGCUCCCGCACACUCCUUCACCUUGGGCCAAGUGCGCAAAUGGACCAACACUCAUGCACAAGCUCAACGGGCAGCACUUCACAUGGACCAAAUGGACCCACCUUCAUCAUCCAUGCUCACCAGCACUUCAUGUGGACAAAUCACGCACGAGGACCCACCAACGGCUUCAACGCUCUCACACGUAGACCAAAAUUUCCAAUUUAGCAUCGCUCCUCUGCACCUAUUUAAAGAGCUCUUCAGCGAACAAUUGGGACAGAGAGAAUUUUCUCCAAUUCGGCAGUUUCCUCCAGCCUCGGCGCAAGAAUUCCUUCGGUUUUUAUUUAUUUUCUCUUUUAUUUAUUUUAUAUUUUUAAUUUAGCCAAUGAGUGGCUAAUUUCUUUCAUCUAAUUGAAUAUUGGUUGAAGUUUUAGUUGGUUAAUGGAUUGUGAGACUUGAUCAAAUAUUGUUUAAAUUUUGGGAAUUCAAUAUUCAUGCAAUUUCAUAUUUAAUUUUCAUAUUAUUUUGUUAUUGAGAUCUACGUUGAUUUUUUAUUGCAAAAUAAUUAUUUGUUAGUUUGAAUAAUUUAAAUCCGUAAUUGCUUGGGUUAUUCUUACAUGAGAACACUUGGGAUAAAACCCAAGGAAAUUGCAUGAUCUAGCGUUAUCUCCAUACAUUUGGGUAGCUAGGAUUGGAUCUCUCUAUUUCUUAAUGCAAUUGGCAAUUGUUUUGAUGCCUAAGGUCUAAGGACGUUCCUUAGCAAUUUGUUAAUUAGUAAUUAAUCAGAGGACGUUCCCUAAUUAAUUUAAUCAUAAGAAGAGAUAAUGGUGGUGAGAAGUGUCUUCCAUCUCCAUAAACUAAUCUAUUGAAUCAACCCAAAAGAACAAAGUGUCUGUGAUCAAUCUCAACAACUAAAGUGGAUCCAAUACUUCAACUGGAACUUUCUCAUUAUUGAUUACUCUUUAUUUUAUUACUUGCUUUCCUUUAUUAUUCUCAAUUUUAGUUUACUACAAUCAAUAUCAAACCCCCCUGUUAUUUUGUUGACAGUUUUUUAUUCCAAUUUUCAGUUUAUCUCAUUUGAUCCCACUUUCAGUUUUUAUCUCAUUUUUUAUUUAUUGUUAUUUCAGUUAAUUCUCUUGGUCUUGUUGAGAAAAAUAAAUAAGUUUUCAAUUCUCUGUAGAUUCGAUCAUUUCACCACUAUCUUCAGUUGUAAAUUGUUGAUAACCAGAAAGGUUAUUUUUGACCGGUUUCGACAACCGCGAGUCAAAAAUCACCUACAGAUUCAGAAUUUGGUUAAUUCAUAAAAGUUUUAGCUCUUUAUCUCAAAUUUAAUUUAGUAUAUUUUAGGCGUAAUUUUGAUAGCUACACAAUGAUUUAUGAAGUUGCUAACACAUACUGCCCUGUUAAAACCUAUCCUACUAGGUCUGCACUUUUAACUUCCAUGCUAAAUUUCUUUACUUAAAGCCUUUCAAAUACUAUUCCAACAUUCAUAGUACAUAUUUAUACAAUCAAACCAAUAUUUUCAGCAAGUAAAAUCAAUCCCUAAUUUCACAUAUUUAUGAGGAAAUCAAAGGAAAACAGAAAAAUCAUAUAAACACAAAAUCUUUUGCACAAUUUUUUUUCAAAAGAUUAUGUACACCUUAGUUAUUCUUUUUUCUUAUCUUUCCCCUUUGAUGUACCUUCCUCCUUUUGAAUUUGUUUUUUACAAAGAAUAAGAAAAAUAGGAGUUUUAAUUCAUUUAACAAUAUAAAAUUAAUUAAAAGUAUGGAAGAACAUAUUUGUCUAACCUAAUUUUCAAUUUCUAUCACUUAUCGCUUAAACACUUAAACUUCUCUCCUCAUUUCCUCCUUUUUUAUAGUUUUUUUGCUGAUUAUUUAACUUAGGAAAGGAUUUGCUUGAAUGAAGAUUUUUUUCUUUAUAAAGAAAUACGGUGAAUAUGGAAGAAAAGAAUACAAAAUAAAAUUUCUUUUCUUUUUGGUGUAGGUUCGGCCAUCAUAAGGAGAAAGGAGACGAGCUUUUUUCUUUUAUGCUUAAUCAUGUCUUUCAUGUAUAGCUAGGUGACACAUGCAGGGUUUAGGUGAAAAGGUAAAGAAAAUGAAGGACUAAACCAAAUUUUAUCUUUAAACUUUUCAUAUUCACACUUUUAACCUACUAAACUCUUUACCAUGUUUCAGUUUAGUUUUCAAGCUUUCAAUAUUCAUAGAUUGACCUACUAAAUUAUACUUUUAGCCUUUAGAAGUCCUUUUCACUUGAGUAAGCAUGACAGAUUCUAAUAAGCACCUCAAGCGUGUAAUACCCGGCUAGAAUCCGACAUCGGAAUUCUACUUUUCGGUGGGAUCUAGGAUGUUGGAAUCCUUUAGAAGGGUAAGAAUAAUAUUUUUCUAAAGUAUUAGAGAAUGUUUUAAUGUUUUAAAGUUAAAAUUACAUGAGUUUUUGAGAGAAAAUAACCAAGGCAGAAAAGCCAGGUUCGGCCGCCGAAGGUGAUGUUCGGCCGCCGAACAUGCAUGGCUUUCGGUUUCACGUUAGGCCGCCGAAGGUGGUCUGGCCAGCCACCUAUAAAAGGCUCUCAGUCGAUUGAAAGGAUAAGAAUGAGCUUUUCUUUUCACUUUCAGAGGUGAGACCCUCUCUUCCUUGAGAAUUCUUCCUGUUUUCAUCAAAUCUUGCAAAGGUUUGAUUGGUUUUUUUGUUAUUUUGAAGGUUUUGAGCUAAAAACAUAAGUUUUGAAGUUUGGAGAGUUUUGAAGGAGAGUUACUCCAUAUCUCCACGUUAGGAUCGUUCAUCUUCUUGGUUUCAAGAGGUAAGUGAAGAUCCUGAUCUUGUUAUUGUGAUUUAUGGAAGUUUUAUGGGGUUUAUGGGGAGAGUUGCAUGGUUAGGGUAAAUAGAGUGUUUUUGAUGUGUUGAGAUGAAAACAUGUAUAUGUGUGUUGUUUAUGUUGUUUUGUUGGGGUUUUAAGGUAGUUUUGACCCCUUUGAGCAUACACUUGGGUAUAUGCAUGUUGAGGAAUUAUGGUGUUUGAGUUUGGGAAAGAUUGGUGUGUUUUGGCGUGAGGCAGAGCAAGGUUCUGCCUUGCUGAAGAACCCAGCUUCGGCCGCCGAAGAAAGGUUCGGCCGCCGAAUGUGCUGAGGAGGUGGCUUCGGCUGCCUAAGCUUGCCCCCGAGAGUUUGGACUUUUGGCUCUGGAGGGGAGUUUCGGCCGCCGAAGGUUAUGGACUUUCAUCUCUGGAGUGCCUUUCAGCCCCCGAACCUUGCCCCCGAAAGGGUUCGGCUGCCGAAAGUAGAGAUUCGGCCGCUGAAGGUGCAUGAGUUUCGGCUCUGGAGAGGACUUUCGGCCGCCGAACCUGCUACCGAAAGUGCCCUGUCCAGCCUUUCUUUGCAUGCUUUAUGUGAUUCUUUUAGGAUCUUUUAAAGGGAUUUUGGGGAGUUUUAUAGAGUUGUUUUUAAGCUAGUUUGGUCCCUCAUUUGAGUCCAUCUGUGUAGGCACAGACCAGAGGAACCAAAGAGAGCAGUAGUGAGUACUGCUUCAAAGUUUGCAGAGUCAGUCCAGAGAUAGCCAGAGGUGAGUGGAACUAAACUUAAUACUUUUAAUUGAAAAAUUGAAUGCUUUUAGCAUAUUUUCAUGCACCAUGAUUAUGCAAUAGGAUGAUUGCAUUAGAAUUCACGAAUAUGUUGCAUUGCAUACUUACUUGUUGAUGUGGAUGGAUGCUAAAUGAUCCAAAUGAGCCUCUGAGAAAGUCCAGGAACCUUUGACUACGCCCUGGUAGGUAUAAGGAAAGUCCAGGAGCCUUUGACUACGCCCUGGCACAAUGGUAAGUACAAGUGUUAUAUACACAUAUAGAUAUACAUGACAGGAAGACCAGGAGCCCAUUCUACGCCCUGGCACAGAAAUGUUACUGAGACUAUUUGGUGACAGGUUUACCCUUAAUGUGAAUUGUCUGUGAUAUGAUGCAUUCCAUAAGAUCAUGUUUUAAUGACCUGUUUUAUUGUUCUACUCACUGGGCUAUAGAGCUCAUCCCACUCCCUUAACCCUAGUCUUGCAGGACCAGUGUACAGGGGAAGUCCAAGAAGAGUACAGGAAGAGUAAAGAGAUUUGUAAUAGAAGAGUGUGGACAUGUAAUAUUAAAGAGAUGUAAUAGUUGUGUAAACAGUUAGAGUUGUGCUUGACUUAGUUAUUUGUACUGUAAAUCUUUUGUGUACAUGGUCUGUUUAUGUAACUGUUUUAUGAGCAGGUGAAAAACCAGGCUUAACAGGUAUGAGUUAACCCAUCUAGAGCAAGCUCUAGUCAGGGGUUCUAUAGUACAGAGAUAGUGCAUGCACAGGUUGAGCCUUGGUCCAGAGAAAAGUUUUUAUUUUCACAGAAAAUGUAUGAUCAUGUAUGGGAUUUACAGGUACACAGGGAGUAUAGCAGGCUUGCUACAGGUUUCGGCGACCUUAAGUCGACCUGAAUCCUAGCGCCAGUGGCGGUCCGAUUUUUGGGUCGUUACAGAUUGGUAUCAAAGCCCAAGGUUCAAAUGAUCGGACCUAUAGAGAGAGUGUUGGGCUCAUAGAGGUUAAAAGUGGUCAAGCACAAUAGGAAUCAUAUCCACUAGGAUAGGAUGUUGAGUCCUGUCUAUUUGAUGCUAUGCCAUGAUUUAUACAUGUGCAUUAUUGAUACGUGAUGUUUAUAUGCUAAAAUGCUAUGUUGUGUGUUUGUUUUCCAGAGUUAAGAUGAGAGAAACUCGUCGAUCUGCACGAUUGACUGGAGUCCCACCAGAUAGUGAGAGAAUAGAUGCUCGUCCUCCUGCAUUGCCAAGGGCAAGGUCUCAUCAAGCAGGGAAGGUGCGUCAAUGGACCCUAGAAGGUCUUUAGACGAGAGCAGAAGAUGUAUAGCUAGAGGAGGAAGGUCAGAAGAAGUGAGGGAGGCUAUGGAGGUGGAUCAGUCAGUAGAUGAAAGCAUGGGUGUAGGCAGAUUUGAAGAAGGUAUGGGAGAAUCUCAGGGAGGCGCUCAGGCCUCGGGAUUUGGUUAUCCAGCCUUUCCUCAGGGCCCAGGGUAUCCGAUGGGAGGUACGUCGGAGUACUCUAGUUUUGCCCCAUAUCCUACUUACAUGCCAUAUAUGCCUUAUCCUCAUUAUUACCCACCAUAUCCCAUGUAUCCACCCUCACCUAUCCAUUCAAGUGCAGCACACCCAGAACCAAAUGAACCAGUACCUCCACCACCACCACCUGAACCAGUAGACCCUGUUGUCCAGGCACCUCAACCUAGCUCAUCUGGGGGAAGUAAGGUGAAAAUGACAGAGUAUCUGAAACUGGAUGCUCCUAAGUUCAAUACAGGAGAUGAUCCAUUUGAGUAUCUCAGAACUGUGAAGAUGAUAACUGAUGAGUUGGGAGCUGAUGAUAGUAGAGCCAUUGAGAUGGCGGGGUUCACACUCAAAUGUAAGAAAGCUCGAGAAUGGUUCAAGAAUUAUGUGGAACCCAGGAUGGACAGUAUGUCAUGGGGAGAGUUCGCCAAUGAGUUUGCAGGGUGGGAUUUUCCUGAUAGUUCCAGGGAGAUGAAAGUAAUAGAAUUUGAACAGUUGAGACAGACGGACGAGAUGAGUGUUGAUGAAUUUACAGAUAAGUUCCUGGAUUUGCUUCAGUACAUGGGUCAAGCCUAUGAUACUGACCAGAAGAAGGCAAGGAGAUAUACUAUAAGACUGCAUCCCUGGUAUUCUUCCUUGAUUCUUCCAGCAGAGAAUGAGAGUUUCCACUAUAUAGUGGAUGCCGCCAGGAAAAUGGAGGCAAGUGCCAAUAUUCAGAGUACAUUAAAACAGUCAAAGGCACAGGCUUCGGGUUCUAAGGCCCCUAGUGCAGCAACUUCAGGCAGCAAGAGAUGGGAAAGGGCAAAAGGAACAAAGAACAAAUUCUGGAGAAAGGUCAAGUCUGGUAUGGGAAUGGGUAGUGGCUCAAGCUCUAGCGCAAGCAAUCCAAUGUGCAGGAGAUGUGGGAGACCACACAGGGGAGCUUGUCAGUUGGGAUCUUCAGCUUGCUUCAAAUGUGGACAGGAAGGGCAUUUUGCUCGAGAUUGUCCUCAGGUGACCUUUGUGGCACCAUCCCAGCAGAUGAGUUCAGGCAGUGUAGUACAACCAGCAGCUCCAGUCAUACCUCAGAGUAGUGGCAGAGGUAGAGGGAGAGGGUCAACCUCUUCUUCCGCAGCAGGUUCCCGAGGUGGACAUCCGGUAGCCCCAGCACAGAUUUUCACUGUGACUCAGGAGGAGGCUAACACGGCGAACACAGUGGUGUCAGGUAAUCUCAUCAUAGGGUGUUCUGAUGUGUAUGCUUUGAUGGACCCCGAUGCUUCUCAUUCCUUUAUUGCUUCGAGAGCCGUAGAAAGAUUGGGUUUGAUCAUUUCUGAGUUAGAGUGUCCUCUCUGGGUCAGUGGACCUAAAUGCGACCCAUCAGUGGUAGUGUCAGUUUGUCAUUUCAGUCCAGUGUUCAUAGAGGAUAGAUGCCUUCCAGCUGACCUUGUGGUUCUAGAUUUGACAGAUUUUGAUGUCAUUCUAGGGAUGGAUUGGCUAUCUGCAUAUGGUGCUACCUUGGACUGUAGAGACAAGGUAGUUAGUCUCAGAGACUAGGAUGGGUCAGAGUGUGUCUUCAGAGGAGACAGGAGGGGUACACCUAGAGGUUUGAUUUCAGCCCUUCAGGCUCGUCGUUUGCUUAGGAGGGGUUGUUAGGGGUUUCUAGCUCAUGUGAGGGAGCUAGAUAGUCAGGUUAGGGAACCAGCCUCAGUACCAAUAGUUCGAGAAUUUCCAGAUGUGUUCCCAGAUGACUUACCAGGAUUACCAUUUGGUAGGGAGAUAGAGUUUGAAAUUGAAUUGCUGCCUAGUACCAGACCUAUCUCUAUUCCUCCCUACAGGAUGGCGCCAGCAGAGUUAAAAGAGUUGAAAGAACAGUUGCAGGAAUUGGUAGAUAAGGGUUUCAUCCGCCCUAGUACCUCUCCUUGGGGUGCUCCAGUACUUUUUGUCAAGAAGAAGGAUGGAUCCCUCAGACUUUGUAUCGACUAUAGACAGUUGAACAAGGUCACUACCAAGAAUAAGUAUCCUCUACCUAGGAUUGAUGAUCUAUUCGACCAGCUAGCUGGAGCAGGUUGUUUCUCUAAAAUAGAUUUGAGAUCUGGGUAUCAUCAGUUGAGAGUCAGAGAGGCAGAUGUGCCAAAGACAGCUUUCAGGACCAGAUAUGGGCAUUAUGAGUUCUUAGUAAUGCCAUUCGGGUUGACUAACGCCCCUGCAGCAUUCAUGGAUCUCAUGAACAGAGUUUUCAGUGAGUAUCUGGAUCAUUUUGUUAUUGUCUUUAUCGAUGAUAUCCUAGUGUACUCCAGAGAUGCAGAGGAGCAUGCCCAGCAUCUGAGGACAGUUCUGCAGACACUGAGAGAGCAUGGAUUAUAUGCCAAGUUCUCGAAGUGUGAGUUUUGGUUAAGGAGCAUUUCCUUCUUGGGACAUGUGGUAUCAGCAGAAGGGAUUGAGGUAGACCCUAAGAAGAUAGAGGCUGUAGCUAACUGGCCCAGACCCACUACAGUGACAGAGAUUAAAAGUUUUCUGGGACUGGCAGGUUACUACAGGAGGUUCGUUCAGGACUUUUCAAAGAUAGCUGCUCCUAUGACCAAACUGACUCAGAAGAACCAGAAGUUUAUCUGGUCGGACCAGUGUGAAGAGAGCUUUGAGGAGCUCAAGAGGAGAUUGACAUCAACACCGGUGUUAGCUUUGCCUAUGAGUAAUGAGGACUUCACAGUGUUCUGUAAUGCAUCUCGAGUGGGAUUGGGUUGUGUUUUGAUGCAGAAUGACAGGGUGAUUGCUUAUGCUUCUAGACAGUUGAAGAAGUACGAGUUGAAUUACCCCACCUAUGACCUAGAGGUGGCAGCAGUUAUCUUUGCACUCAAGAUGUGGAGGCAUUAUGUAAUACCCGGCUAGAGUCCAGCAUCGGAAUUCCUAUUGUCCAAUGGAAUCUCGGGUGUCGAAAUCCUCUAGAAGGGUAAUACAUAUGUUUGUUAAAGUAUUUUACCUUGUUUUAAUGUUUUAAGUAUAAAGGAAAAUGAGAGUGUUUGAAAGAAAAGAGCCAAGGGAGAAAAGGGCAAGUUCGGCCGCUGAAAGUGAGUUUCGGCCGCCUAACCUUGCAUGGUUUCGGAUUCACGUUUGGCCGCCGAAGGUGGUCUGGCCAGCCACCUAUAAAGGGCCCUAAGUCGGUGGAAGGAUGAUAUAUUGCUUCCACCUUCAGCCAGAGGUGAGUCCAAACCCUUCCCAAGUUGACUUUCAUGAUCUUCUUCAAAUCUUUCAAGGUUUUUAAGAGUUUUGAUGUUGUUUUGAAGUUUUUGAGCAAAAGAGCUAAGUUUGGAAGUUUGGAGCCUUUGAGAGAAGAUUUCUCCAUAUCUCCACGUUGGGAUCCUUUAUUCUCUUGUUUGGAAGAGGUAAGUAAAGAUCCUAAACUUCCUUUCUUGAUUUUUGAAGGUUUUAUGGAAGUUUUAUGGGUAGUAUGCAUGAUAAGGUUUAGUUGAGGUUUUUGGAUGAUUUUGGUGUAUAAGCAUGUAUAAGUGUUAUGUGUAUGUUUGUUGGGGUUAGAAGGUAGAUUUAGACCCUUUUAUGCACGUUAUAUGGUAUGUGCUAGUUGGGAGUAGUUGUUUGCAUGUUGAGGUAAGUUUGGGGGAAAGUUUGCAUGAAACAGAGCAGGGUUCUGCCCUUUGGGCAAAACCAGGUGUAACAGCCCGGAAACCGCCACCCUCCUGUAACGGCCCGAACCGCCACCGGCGCUAGGAUCCAGAUCGGCUUAAGGCCGCCGGGACCCGUAGCAAGCCAAACAUACCUCCUAUCACCUGGUCAAAUCCCAUACAUGAUCAAAACUUAAACAUAAAAACUGAAACAUCUGAUGUAAAUACCGAGCUUGACCUGUACGCGAUAGAACUGAAAACAUAAAAGGAUCCCCUACUAGAGCCCUCAUCAAAACUCUAGCUGGGUCAACAUAACAUACAUCAAGCCGGAGUCACAUCCAAAGAACUAGGACCUAACCUGUGCAUGCAUGAAACCACAAACAUAAGACCUCCUCUAGGGUCCUCAUCCAUUACCAUAGCGUGGUACACAACACAUGCCACAAGAUUAGUUCAAACAUAACUCAACAUCUAGCAUAACGUACAUCAUGUAUUAAACAGGGACUAACCAAGUCUUAGGGCCAACCACAGUACUAAACCAUAAACAUAACUCCAAUUUAACUUUACAUUACAAUAUCUCAGUUUACAUUACAUCAUGUCCACACUAACAGUACUAAUCUAUAACUAUUACAAAAGUACAACCUUAACUCUUGAGACUUCCCGAACGUCCUCAAACCUGCAACACUGGGGUUAGGGGAGAGGGGUGAGCUAAAAAGCCCAGUGAGCAGAAACAUAGAAAACAGUUCAUUAAUUACAUGCUCUCAUGAAAUGUGUCAUAUCACAAAGAAAUCACAUAACUGUCUCUGGUCUGUCUCGGGGCUCAUGCAGAUAAAUAUUCCCCACGGAGUGUUUUUGAGAGUUCCUUUAUGCUAGCAUCCUUUACUCUCAAGGAUCGGACAUGACCUCAAAAAUCCCUCUGUCGGUGCCCGGCUCCCCCAAAGGAGCUCACACAGGACUUUCACAUACAUGACAAGGUACCUAGUCCACAGAGAGCGCACAGGGACUUUCCUAUAUGUACUUGUCCGGCUCUCAAAGGACUUACCCAAGACUCAAUGACAGAAUUGGGCUAUUGAAGUCGCCUUGGUCCAAACCUCCUGAAACAACAUCAAAUAAUGCAAUGCGCCACAUUCGUGAACUAGUGCAAACAACCUACUACAUAUAAUCAUGAUGCAUGAACAUGCUUUAGGCCUUAGAUUUUCUUAAAAUAAAAGAUUAAGUUAGUUCUACUCACCUCUGGCAGAUGCUGAACCGACUCUGCAACUGCUAACUCUGAUGGCCUCCUCGAUCCCUCGGGUCCGAUCCUACACAGGUGGACUCGAAUGAGGUGCCAACACACUCUAAACAACUCAUAAACAACUCCCCAAAAACCCCUCUAAACAUCACUUAAACAUGCAUAGAAAACACUCAAGAAACGGCUGGACAGGGCACCUUCGGCGGCCGAAAGUCCCUUCCAGAGACGAAACUCGGGUAGGUUUGGCGGCAGGUUCGGCGGCCGAACCUUCCCUCCAGAGACGAAAGUCAGGCACUUUCGGUGGCUGAAUCCUUCCUUCGGCGGCCGAAAGUCUGCUUUCAAGCCAAAACUCAACUUUCGGGGGCAAGGUUAGGCGGCCAAACCAUGCAUCCAAAGGCAGGUUCGGCGGCCGAAGCCACUUUCGGAGGCCGAACCUGAGUUCUUCCCAGAAGGGCAGAACUCAGCUUCACAUGCAUUGAAGCCUCCCAAACCUUCCAAACACCCCAAAACAAGCACUCAACUAAACCAAAACAUGCAUAAACCUUAACCCAUGCACAAAGGAGCUUAAUAACUUGAUUAAACUCCAAAAACCACAUCAAAGCAUACAUAGACAGUUUAUGACCCACAUAGGCCAAAACCAUCAAAACAACCCAAAUCCUCACAUACUCUCUCCCCAUCAUGCAUACUCACUCCCACAUGCGUAAAGGAGCAUAAACUAACAUAAACUCCUCAACACAAACAUCACAUUACAUACAUUGGGCAUAAAACCCACAUAAAGCCUAACAUACAUCUCUACCCAUUAAAACACCAUUAAAACCUCUUAAAACUUCAAAGGACACUAGGAGAGCAAAGAUCUACACUUACCUCUUGAAGAUCGAGGGUGGUGUGAUCCCUAACUCGGAGGUGUGGAGAAUCCAAGCUCCAAAAUCUCCAAGCUCCCAAAACUCCCUUUCAAGCUUCAAAGCUCUUCAAGACAACCAUGGAGCUCAUGAAAACAUGAAGGAGAUGAAGAAAAACAUGAAAACGGCCAAGGGAGGACAAAAACUCACCUGAGCUCGAGAAUGGGGAGAAAACUCUCCCAUUUCCGAUCUGAGGGCCCUUUAUAGGUGGCCUGGUCGAAGACCUUCGGCGGCCUAACGUGCCCCCUAAACUCAUGCAAGUUUGGCGGCCGAACUUGACUUUCGGCGGCCGAACCUUGGCUCGUUCAAACAAGACUUUCGGAGGCCAAAGGCGCUCCCGAAGCCUUUCCAUGUUCGGCGGCCGAACUUCAAUUUCGGCGGCCGAACCUGGCAAACGCCUCCUUGGCCUUUUCUUUUCAAAACUCAAUUUUCUUUCAAUUAAAACCCUUAAAAUCAUUUGAAAAUAUUUUUAGAAAACACAUUUUACCCUUCUAGAGAGAUCCAUCACCCUAGAUUCCGCCGGAAGGCAGGAAUCCCGAUGCCGGAAUCUAGCCGGGUAUUACACCAGGUUCGGCCGCCGAAGGAAGGUUCGGCCGCCGAACCCCUUGUGGAGGCAGUUUCGGCUACCAAAGCUUGCCUCCGAAAAUUGGGACUUUCGUCUCUGGAGGGAAGGUUCGGCCGCCGAAAGUGCCACUGAAGGUUGAGUUUCGUCUCUGGACGAGACUUUCGACUGCCGAAGGUGCCACCGAACAUGCAUGAGUUUCGUCUCUGGAGGGGGGUUUCGGCUGCCGAACUUGCCGCCGAAAGUGCCCUGUCUAGCCUUCUUUUGCAUAUUUUCUAUGAUUGUUUUAGGAUCUUUUAGGGGGGGUUUUGGGGAGUUUUAUAGAGAUGUUCUUGAGUUAGUUUGGUCCCUCAUUUGCGUCCACCUGUGUAGGAACAGACCAGAGGAACCAGCGAGAUCAGCAGUGAGCACUGCUUCAGAACCUGCAGAGUCAGUUCAGAGUCAGCCAGAGGUGAGUGGAACUAAACUUAACCAUUUUAAUAUGAGUAACCAAAUGCUUUGAGCAUGUUUCAUGCAUCAUGACCAUGUUAUAGGUUGAUCGCAUUAGAUAUCACGAAUAUGAAGCAUUGCAUACUUUGUUGUUGAUGUGGGUGAUCUGGAUGAUCCAAUAGUCCUUGAGAGCCGGGUGCCUACCUCUACGCCCUGGCAUAGAUGAGAUAGUCAGGUGCCUACCUCUACGCCCUGACCCAGAUAGAUGAGAUAGUCGGGUGCCUACCUCUACGCCUUGACACAGAUAGACGCUGGGACUAGUUGGUGACAGGUUUACCCUUGAUGUGGCUUGUUUGUGCAGUGAUGCAUUCCAUGAGAUCAUGUUUUACUAUCAUGUUUUAGAGUUCUACUCACUGGGCUAGUAUAGCUCAUCCCUCUCCCUUAACCCCAGUUUUGCAGGUACAGAGUCCAGAGAGAAGUCAGCAGGGUAUAGAAGAGUAAAGAGAUAUGUAAUAGCUAGUGUGGACAUGUAAUUAUAAAGAGAUAGUUUUUGUUGUAUAGAAUUGUGCUUGAUCAUUAUAAGAGUUGUAAUUCCUUUGUAUACAUGAUCUUUUUAUGUAAUGAGUUUACCUUAUGUGUUUAAACACCAGGCUUAAUAGAGAAUGAGUUUAGCCCACCUAGAGCAAAGAUGUGAGCUCUAGUAGGGGUUUACAGUACAGAGUUAGUGCAUGCACAGGUUAAGCCUUAGUACAGAGAAAAGUUUUAAUUUUUACAGAAAAUGUAUGAUCAUGUAUGGGAAGUUACAGGUACACAGAGUUCACAGCAGGCUUGCUAUGGGUCCCGGCGGCCUUAAGCCGAUCUGGAUCCUAGCGCCGGUAGCAGUUCGGUUUUCGGGCUGUUACACAUUACCUCUACAGGGUUAAAUGCGAGAUCUUCACUGAUCACAAGAGUUUACAGUACAUCUUGAGUCAGAGAGAGCUGAAUUUGAGGCAGAGAAGAUGGGUAGAAUUGCUCAGUGAUUAUGAUUGUAAGAUCCAGUAUCAUCCGGGUAAGGCGAAUGUUGUGGCAGACGCCCUAAGCCGGAAAUCACUAGGCAGUUUGUCCCAUAUAGCAGCAGAGCGGAGACCAGUAGUGAUGGAGUUUUACAAGCUCAUCGAGGAAGGGUUACUGCUAGAGUUGUCUAGUACAGGUGCGUUGAUAGCAUAGAUGAGAGUGACACCAGUGUUUCUGGAGCAAAUAGCUCAGAAACAGCAUGAGGACCCGGAAUUAAUGAAAAUUGCCAGGACUGUUCAGUCAGGCAACAGUGCAGAAUUCAGAUUUGACAGCAAAGGGAUCCUCCGCUAUGGAAGUCGACUAUGUGUACCAGAUGAUAAUAGUCUGAAAGAAGACAUUAUGAGGGAAGCUCAUAAUGCAAGGUACAGUGUUCACCCAGGAGCCACCAAGAUGUAUCAGGAUUUGAAGAGGGUGUAUUGGUGGCCAGCCAUUAAGAAAGAAGUGGCCCAGUUCGUGUCAGCCUGUGAGGUUUGCCAGAGGGUGAAACUAGAACAUCAGAAGCCGGCUGGAAUGCUUAACCCACUGCCGAUUCCAGAAUGGAAAUGGAAAAACAUAGCUAAGGAUUUUGUAGUGGGUUUACCGGCAGCGUCCAACAGGAUAGACUCUAUAUGGGUGAUUGUGGACAGACUCAUGAAAUCUUCUCAUUUCAUCCCAGUUAGGAGUAACUAUUCUGUGGAUAAGUUGGCACAGAUUUAUAUGGACGAGAUAGUAAGAUUACAUGGAAUCCCAGUGUCUAUAGUGUCAGACAGAUGACCUCAGUUUACCUCCAGAUUUUGGCGGAGUCUGCAGAGUGCGAUGGGCACGAGGUUAGAUUUUAGCACUGCUUUCCAUCCACAGACUGAUGGACAGUCAGAGAGGACCAUCGAGACCAUCGAGGAUAUGAUCAGAAUGUGUGUGUUAGAUUUUGGCAGUUCUUGGAGGCAGCAUCUACCUCUGGUGGAGUUUGCCUACAACAACAGUCAUCAUGCUAGCAUAGGGAUGGCUCCUUAUGAAGCUUUGUAUGGGAGGAAGUGCAGAUCACCAGUUUGCUGAGAAGAAGUGGGAGAGAAGGCUCUUGCAGAGCCAGAGUUAGUAGAGAUUACCAGUAGAGUGGUGCCCAUGAUCAGAGAGAGAAUCAGAACUGCUCAGAGUAGACAGAAAAGCUAUGCAGACAUUCACAGAAAACAAAUAGAGUUUCAGGAAGGUGAGAUGGUAUUGCUGAAAGUGUCUCCAAUGAAAGGAGUGGUUCGUUUUGGGAAGAAAGGUAAGCUAGCUCCACAGUACAUUGGACCCUUUGAGAUCUUGCAGAGGAUCGGAAAUGUGUCGUAUAAGCUGGAUUUACCUACUUCUAUGGAGAGAAUUCACCCGGUAUUUCAUGUUUCUAUGCUACGGCAAUUUGUGUCAGAUCCGAAUCAGGUUCUGAGUGAGCCUAAUGUGGAGAUUCUUAGAGAUCUCACCUAUAUAGAGCAGCCAGUGCGGAUUCUAGACACACAGAUCAGACAGCUAAGGAACAAGGAAAUUCCGAUGGUGAAAAUCCUGUGGAACCACCAUAAUCUAGAAGAGUGCACCUGGGAGACGCGGGAGUCUAUGCUCCAGCAGUAUCCAUAUCUGUUUUGAGGUUAGUUUUCUCCUUUUUAUGUGUUUAUUUGUUUGAGGAACAUUCGAGGACGAAUGUUCUUAAGGGGGGAGAAUGUAAUACCCGGCUAGAAUCCGGCAUCGGAAUUCUACUUUCCGGUGAGAUCUAGGAUGUUGGAAUCCUUUAGAAGGGUAAGUAUAAUGUUUUUCUAAAGUAUUAGAGAAUGUUUUAAUGUUUUAAAGUUAAAAUGACAUGAGUUUUUGAGAGAAAAGAACCAAGGCAGAAAAGCCAGGUUCGGCUGCCGAAGGUGAUGUUCAGCCGCCGAACAUGCAUGGCUUUCGGUUUCACGUUAGGCCGCCGAAGGUGGUCUGGUCAGCCACCUAUAAAAGGCCCUCAGUCGGUUGAAAGGAUAAGAAUGAGCUUUUCUUUUCACUUUCAGAGGUAAGACCCUCUCUUCCUUGAGAAUUCUUCCUGUUUUCAUCAAAUCUUGCAAAUGUUUAAUUGGUUUUUUUGUUAUUUUGAAGGUUUUGAGCUAAAAACAUAAGUUUUGAAGUUUGGAGAGUUUUGAAGGAGAGUUACUCCAUAUCUCCACGUUAGGAUCGUUCAUCUUCUUGGUUUCAAGAGGUAAGUGAAGAUCCUGAUCUUGUUAUUGUGAUUUAUGGAAGUUUUAUGGGGUUUAUGGGGAGAGUUGCAUGGUUAGGGUAAAUAGAGUGUUUUUGAUGUGUUGAGAUGAAAACAUGUAUAUGUGUGUUGUUUAUGUUGUUUUGUUGAGGUUUUAAGGUAGUUUUGACCCCUUUGAGCAUACACUUGGGUAUAUGCAUGUUGAGGAAUUGUGGUGUUUGAGUUUGGAAAAGAUUGGUGUGUUUUGGCGUGAGGCAGAGCAAGGUUCUGCCUUGCUGAAGAACCCAGCUUUGGCCGCCGAAGAAAGGUUCGGCCGCCGAAUGUGCUGAGGAGGUGGCUUCGGCUGCCUAAGCUUGCCCCCGAGAGUUUGGACUUUCGACUCUGGAGGGGAGUUUCGGCCGCCGAAGGUUAUGGACUUUCAUCUCUGGAGUGCCUUUUAGCCCCCGAACCUUGCCCCCGAAAGGGUUUGGCUGCCGAAAGUAGAGAUUCGGCCGCCGAAGGUGCAUGAGUUUCGGCUCUGGAGAGGACUUUCGGCCGCCGAACCUACCGCCGAAAGUGCCCUGUCCAGCCUUUCUUUGCAUGCUUUAUGUGAUUCUUUUAGGAUCUUUUAGAGGGAUUUUGGGGAGUUUUAUAGAGUUGUUUUUAAGCUAGUUUGGUCCCUCAUUUGAGUCCAUCUGUGUAGGCACAUACCAGAGGAACCAAAGAGAGCAGCAGUGAGUACUGCUUCAGAGUUUGCAGAGUCAGUCCAGAGAUAGCCAGAGGUGAGUGGAACUAAACUUAAUACUUUUAAUUGAAAAAUUGAAUGCUUUUAGCAUAUUUUCAUGCACCAUGAUUAUGCAAUAGGAUGAUUGCAUAAGAAUUCACGAAUAUGUUGCAUUGCAUACUUACUUGUUGAUGUGGGUGGAUGCUGAAUGAUCCAAAUGAGCCUCUGAGAAAGUCCAGGAGCCUUUGACUACGCCCUGGCACAAUGGUAAGUACAGGUGUUAUAUACACAUAUAGAUAUACAUGACAGGAAGACCAGGAGCCCAUUCUACGCCCUGGCACGGAAAUGUUACUGAGACUAUUUGGUGAUAGGUUUACCCUUGAUGUGAAUUGUCUGUGAUAUGAUGCAUUCCAUAAGAUCAUAUUUUAAUGACCUGUUUUAUUGUUCUACUCACUGGGCUAUAGAGCUCAUCCCACUCCCUUAACCCCAGUCUUGCAGGACCAGUGUGCAGGGGAAGUCCAGAAGAGUACAGGAAGAGUAAAGAGAUUUGUAAUAGAAGAGUGUGGACAUGUAAUAUUAAAGAGAUGUAAUAGUUGUGUAAACAGUUAGAGUUGUGUUUGACUUAGUUAUUUCUACUGUAAAUCUUUUGUGUACAUGGUCUGUUUAUGUAACUGUUUUAUAAGCAGGUGAAAAACUAGGCUUAACAGGUAUGAUUUAACCCAUAUAGAGCAAGCUCUAGUCAGGGGUUCUAUAGUACAGAGAUAGUGCAUGCACAGGUUGAGCCUUGGUCCAGAGAAAAGUUUUUAUUUUCACAGAAAAUGUAUGAUCAUGUAUGGGAUUUACAGGUACACAGGGAGUAUAGCAGGCUUGCUACGGGUUUCGGCUGUAACAGCCCGGAAACCGAUACCCCUCUGUAACGGCCCCAAACUGCUCGGCGCUAGGAUCCAGAUCGGCUUAAGGCCGCCAGAACCCGUAGCAAGCCUAACCUGAACUCCAAACUUCCCAUACAUGAUCCGACAACUGUAAAACUUUUCUUUAAAAAACUACCAGACUUAACCUUAAAAAACAAUCAGAUAUACCAAUCUGAAAUAGCCUCCAGGGCUUACACCAUUAAUCCUAUCCGUAGAGUCACGGGAAUCAAACCCGAUCUUCCCUUACGGUCUGAUCUCGGGCCAAGGGAAUCAAACCCUGUCUUCCCUCACAGCCUGGUCUUGGGUCAAGGGAAUCAAACCCUGUCUUCCCUCACAGUUAUAUAUUUCACUGGAGUUUUCGAAACACAACAUCUAUUAAGCCUGGUUUGACUCAUUUCUCAUCAAGAAACAUAAAACAGGAUACAUGCAUACACUAGGGAUUACGCGUACACUGGGCAAAGCACAUACUAAACCAUAAACACACUAUCUUACAAUCUAUUACAUCAUUUAACAAAUAUCUCUUUCAUUUACAUCAUGUCCACUAUUCUAUUACACAAGCAAUACUGGAGCCAACACUCUGCUGCUUCUGACCUCCCCAGCUCACUCUGAACCUGCAAAACUGGGGUUAAGGGAAAGGGAUGAGCUUCUAAAGCCCAGUGAGUAGAAACACUGAAAACAGUUCAUUAAUUACACACUUUCAUGGAAUGCGUCACAGCACAAACAGUUCACAUCUCGGAUCAGACAUGACCUCAAAACUCCCUCUGUCGGCACUCGAUUCCCGAAGGAACUCACACAGGAUUUUCACUACCAUGACAGAUCGUGGGCUAUUGAUGUCGCCUUGGUCCAAUCCCCACUAUUAGUAAAUAUUGCAAUGCACCAUAUUUGUGAUUCUAAUGCAAUCACCCUAAUAUAUAUCAUAGCAUUCAUGAUGCAUGAACUAUGCUAAAAGCAUUCUGUUUUCUAAGUAAAAAGAUUAAGUUUAGUUCUACUCACCUCUGCUCCUCAAGCAGAUACUGAACUGACUCUGCAAAGACUAACACUGACAACCUCCGCGACCUCUCGGGUCCAAUCCUAUACAAAUGGACUCGAAUGAGGUGUCAAACAUACUCUGAGCAAUUCAAAACAACCCUUAAACAACUCCCCAAAAACCCUCUAAAAGCUCUUAGAACAAUCACAUAAAGCAUGCAAAAGAAGGCUGGACAGAACACCUUCGGCGGCAGGUUCGGCGGCCGAAUGUCCUAUCCAGAGCCGAAACUCAAGUACCUUCGGCGGCCGAAUCUCCACUUUCGGCUGCCGAACCCUUUCGGGGGCAAGGUUCGGGGACUAAAACACACUCCAGAGACGAAAGUCUCUAACCUUCGGCGGCACCUUCGGCGGCCAAAUCCCCCUUCCAGAGCCGAACCUCAAAACUCUCAGGGGUGAACUGUGGCAGCCAAAGCCACCUCUCAAGGGGUUCGGCGGCCGAAUGUACCUUCGGCUGCCGAACCUGAGUUCAUCCAGAACUCAGCUUCGCCUGCAACCAAGCUCCUCAAUCCCUUCAACCUCUCAAAACAUGCAUACUUCAACUCCUUAACUUACAUAUACUCAAGUAUAUGCACAAAGGGGUCCAAAACUACCUAAAAACCCCAACAAACAACAUAUCAUAACACAUAAACAUGCUUUCAUGCAUAAACCAUAAAAAAUCUCCUUUUAAACCUAAUCAUGCACCUCUACCAAAACCUCCAUAAAAAAACCCCUGUAAAACAUCAGAACAAGUUCAAGAUCUUCACUUACCUCUUGUAGACAAGAAGAUGAACGAUCUGAACAAAGAAAAAUGGACCAACUCCUCUUCAAAUUCACCAAACCUCAAAACUUAGCUUUUUGACCAAAAACCUUCAAAACCACAACAAAACACCUUAAAACUUUGCAAACCUUGAUAAAAUCUUGAGGAUGACUCAUGGAGGACGUGGCCUCUCCUCUGGCAAUGAUCUGGAGGCAACACCUGUCCAAAUCAUCGACUGAGAAUGCUUUAUAGGUGACUGACCACUUCAGCUUCGGCAGCCGAAUCGCAUGCAAAACCAUGCAACGUUCGGCGGCCGAACUUAAACUUCGGGGGCCGAAAUUAAAGCACUUUCGGCUGCCGAACAUUACCUUCGGCGGCCGAACCUGGCAAAAGUCCCCAUAGUCUUUUCUCUUCAAAACUUAAUCCUAUUUUAUUCAAAACCUUAAAAAUACUUAAAAACAUUUUAGAAAACCUUUCUAUUACCCUUCUAGAAAUCUCUGACAUCUACGAAUUCCACCGGACGGUAAGAAUUCCGAUGCCUGCUUUAGCCGGGUAUUACAAUCUUCCCCCUUUUCAAAAACAUUCGUCCUCGAAUGUUAAAAACAAACAAAUAAGCAAUUAGAACCUCAAUUUACUCCUAAACUCCACAGUUUCUGCUGCGCACUCUGAUCCUUACCCCUCUUCUCUUUAUCUUUUCUCAACUAACCUUUUUCUUCUAACCUUUCACUUUCUAAUUCUCAAUAGGUAGUACCCAAAUCUCGGUUCACACCAAAACCACAACCAGCUCUACUAGAUGUUUUUACUAAAACAUCAAUCAUAACUAGGACUACCUGUCCUUAGUAGUGACCUUGUUAAUUGCUCACAAUCACAAUAAAAUCUCAAGGAUCUAUCCUUCGUUUCCCAUAACAACACUGGAACAUUCCAAGGUGAGGUACUAAGUAGGAUAAAACCCUUAACUAUUAAACCUCUCUUACUAAUCUUACUCUGCAGGUGCCAUCCUGUUAGGGUAGAAGGAAAGAAAUGGUUCUGCGUCCAGACACCACUCCUAUUCCAAACUCUAACUCCCGAACAGAUGGUAAACCUGACAGCUCGUCUGGGAAACAUCUAGAAUUCUCUAGCAAUAGGUAUUGAGGCUGAUUCCCUGACCUGACUACCAAAUUUGCUCACAAGAGCUAGAACCCUCUGAUAACCUUUCCUGAGCAAUGAUGAGCCUGCGGGGUUGACAUUAACUUUUAGGCACCUAUACUCUGUCCCUUCCAAGGACUACCUCUGAUCCAUCCAGCACUCUGAACUCUCCUACCUUGUCUCUAUAGACACAGGUAGUACUAUGAGUAGCUAGCCAAUUCGCCCUAGAAGGACAUCACAUAGUCAACUCUAGAACCAUAAGGUCAGCUGGAUUGCGCCUACUCACCACAAACUCUGAACUGAACUGACUGACUCUGCCUCAGAUGGAUCAUACUCAGGUCUACUGACCCAGAGAAAACACUCUAAGCCCAGAAGUCAUCAAACCCAUCUACCAACGGCUCACAACCAACAAAGAAAGCGAAACGCUAGGGUCCAAAACAAACAGCUUACACAUCCGAACACUCCCAAGUGAACGUACCUAACGUCACCGUGUUCGAUGUGUUAGCCUCCUACUGAGUCAGGGUGAAGAUCCGCGCUAAAGCUAACGGAACUUCCCUCGGGAACUUCCUAAAGAAAAACUAACCCUUUCCUCUGCCUCAACUACCACCUAUUCCCAAACUGGCUCUAAUCUCUUUCUGAGCUUAUUCUUCCUCCUUUUUACUCUUACUUUUACUCUUCUCUUUACUCUGUUCUAAUUCUCUUACUCGUCUUCUUCUCCUUCUUCUUGAAGCUAUUUUACGAGAUGAGAAAGUCAACGAUAAAACUCAAUGCCACAACAUCUCAUAGUAACUCUCUCUCUAGCUUUUCUCUGAAUCUCUAUUAUACUUUAUUACUCUCACAUUACUCGACAUCCUACUAGAAUCCACAAAAAUAUACAUAUCAAAACUUUCAAAAAAAAAAGAGCAUACCUGGCACCACUGGGUCUGAUGUGGCUGCCUCCUACUGAACAGCUCGACCUGAAAAUAUCCGCUGGGACUGAGCCAUCCAAGGCGCAGUAGGACACUCACGUGCUAUGUGCCCUUCCUGUCCGCACCUGAAACAUGCUGUUGUCCUAACAAGACAGACUCCCUUAUGUGGCCUUCCACACCUCACACAUUUGGUUUUGCCUAUACUAGAACUCGAACCAGCACCAACCUUAUUCUUCUUUGAUCUUCUCAAGCCUCUGACUUUUUUCUUAGUGGUUCUCCCCCACAUCACUCCUUUCGAGGUAGCUGUACUCCAAGUGGAAGGAUCAUUUUCUCCUAAACUAGAAAUUUUGGAAUCCUUGGUCUGAACAUCCUCUAACGAUUCUUCAUCCAUAUUUACCUGCAGACCAACAUCCCUUCUCUGCACCUCUGAUUCUAGUUCUCUCCUAUCUCUAGACAUUCUCCUUAGAUCCAUUCUUUCUCUAUUUUCAUCAAAAGACCCUUCAGACGGAUCUGAUUCAAUCUGUGGACUAACACCACUCAUCUUAGCUCUUCUGAAGCACAAAACACAAACAAACAAAUAUUAGCACACAUAUAGUUCAUAUGAAAGACACAUGAACUUACAAUAUCUAUACAUGCAUACAUAACAUGACAGCAAUGCACAUGCAUAUAGUCAUGGCAUUUCACAUCAGCAUGCAAAAUAAAACUCAACAUCCUAGUGGACAUGAUUUUACUUAUUGUGCUUGCCUUCCUAUGCCCUCUAAACACCAUCUUUCCGAUGUGAAACAACUCUAAUCCUGAGCAAAAGAUGCUCAACACACCGUACUUAUGAGGCCCUAUGCUCUGAUACCAUCUGUAACAGCCCAGAAACCGAUACCCCUCUGUAACGGCCCCAAACUGCUCGGCGCUAGGAUCCAGAUCGGCUUAAGGCCGCCAGAACCCGUAGCAAGCCUAACCUGAACUCCAAACUUCCCAUACAUGAUCCGACAACUGGAAAACUUUUCUUUAAAAAACUACCAGACUUAACCUUAAAAAACAAUCAGAUAUACCAAUCUGAAAUAGCCUCCAGGGCUUACACCAGUAAUCCUAUCCGUAGAGUCACGGAAAUCAAACCCGGUCUUCCCUUACGGUCUGAUCUCGGGUCAAGGGAAUCAAACCCUAUCUUCCCUCACAGCCUGGUCUUGGGUCAAGGGAAUCAAACCCUGUCUUCCCUCACAGUUAUAUAUUUCACUAGAGUUUUCGAAACACAACAUCUAUUAAGCCUGGUUUGACUCAUUUCUCAUCAAGAAACAUAAAACAGGAUACAUGCAUACACUAGGGAUUAAGCAUACACUGGGCAAAGCACAUACUAAACCAUAAACACACUAUCUUACAAUCUAUUACAUCAUUUAACAAAUAUCUCUUUCAUUUACAUCAUGUCCACUAUUCUAUUACACAAGCAAUACUGGAGCCAACACGCUGCUGCUUCUGACCUCCCCAGCUCACUCUGAACCUGCAAAACUGGGGUUAAGGGAAAUGGAUGAGCUUCUAAAGCCCAGUGAGUAGAAACACUGAAAACAGUUCAUUAAUUACACACUUUCAUGGAAUGCGUCACAGCACAAACAGUUCACAUCUCGGAUCAGACAUGACCUCAAAACUCCCUCUGUCGGCACCCGAUUCCCGAAGGAACUCACACAGGAUUUUCACUACCAUGACAGAUCGUGGGCUAUUGAUGUCGCCUUGGUCCAAUCCCCACUAUAAGUAAAUAUUGCAAUGCACCAUAUCGUGAUUCUAAUGCAAUCACCCUAAUAUAUAUCAUAGCAUUCAUCAUGCAUGAACUAUGCUAAAAGCAUUCUAUUUUCUCAGUAAAAAGAUUAAGUUUAGUUCUACUCACCUCUGCUCCUCAAGCAGAUACUGAACUGACUCUGCAAAGACUAACAUUGACGACCUCCUCGACCUCUCGGGUCCAAUCCUACACAAAUGGACUCGAAUGAGGUGUCAAACAUACUCUGAGCAAUUCAAAACAACCCUUAAACAACUCCCCAAAACCCCUCUAAAAGCUCUUAGAACAAUCACAUAAAGCAUGCAAAAGAAGGCUGGACAGAACACCUUCGGCGGCAGGUUCGGGGGCCGAAUGUCCUAUCCAAAGCCAAAACUCAAGUACCUUCGGCGGCCGAAUCUCCACUUUCGGCUGUCGAACCCUUUCGGGGGCAAGGUUCGGGGACUAAAACACACUCCAGAGACGAAAGUCUCUAACCUUCAGUGGCACCUUCGACGGCCGAAUCCCCCUUCCAGAGCCAACCUCAAAACUCUCGGGGGUGAACUGUGGCAGCCAAAGCCACCUCUCAAGGGGUUCGGCGGCCGAAUGUACCUUCGGCUGCCGAACCUGAGUUCAUCCAGAACUCAGCUUCGCCUGCAACCAAGCUCCUCAAUCCCUUCAACCUCUCAAAACAUGCAUACUUCAACUCCUUAACUUACAUAUACUCAAGUAUAUGCACAAAGGGGUCCAAAACUACCUAAAAACCCCAACAAACAACAUAUCAUAACACAUAAACAUGCUUUCAUGCAUAAACCAUCAAAAAUCUCCUUUUAAACCUAAUCAUGCACCUCUACCAAAACCUCCAUAAAAAAACCCCUGUAAAACAUCAGAACAAGUUCAAGAUCUUCACUUACCUCUUGUAGACAAGAAGAUGAACGAUCUGAACAAAGAAAAAUGGACCAACUCCUUUUCAAAUUCACCAAACCUCAAAACUUAGCUUUUUGACCAAAAACCUUCAAAACCACAACAAAACACCUUAAAACUUUGCAAACCUUGAUAAAAUCUUGAGGAUGACUCAUGGAGGACGUGGCCUCUCCUCUGGCAAUGAUCUGGAGGCAACACCUGUCCUAAUCAUCGACUGAGAAUGCUUUAUAGGUGACUGACCACUUCAGCUUCGGCAGCUGAAUCGCAUGCAAAACUAUGCAACGUUCGGAGGCCGAACUUAAACUUCGGGGGCCGAAGCUAAAGCACUUUCGGCUGCCGAACAUUACCUUCGGCGGCCGAACCUGGCAAAAGUCCCCAUAGUCUUUUCUCUUCAAAACUUAAUCCUAUUUUAUUCAAAACCUUAAAAAUACUUAAAAACAUUUUAGAAAACCUUUCUAUUACCCUUCUAGAAAUCUCUGACAUCUAUGAAUUCCAUCGGACGGUAAGAAUUUCGAUGCUUGCUUUAGCCAGGUAUUACAUCGGCGACCUUAAGUCGACCUGAAUCCUAGCGCCGGUGGCGGUCCGAUUUUCGGGUCAUUACAAGCACGUUGAGAAACCCUAAGCACCUUCCAAAAGUGACUCAUUUUUAACUCGCUUAGCAUACUGUCUACUUUAUUUAUGGAUAUGUCCAUUUCUUUAUAUGAGUUUUCUAUGAUUUAGUUAUUAGCAGUUUAGAGUUAUGCUAGCAGCUCCCCUAAGUAGUUUGGGGUAAGGUAGCACCUCUUCUAAUUUCACUUGUUCUAAUAGUGAAAUAGCCUAACCCACACCUAGUGAUGUCACUAUUCUAACUAUGGGUUUGAAUAUAUUACAACUCUUUCCCUCUCAAGAAAUUUAUCCUCGAAAUUUUACCUGCUUUGAAUAACUAUGGAUAUUGUUGCUUCAUCACUUCUUCACUCUGCCAUGUAGCUUUUUCUACCUUGUGAUUUCUCCACAACACUUUAACUAUGGGAAUUUUCUUAUUUCUUAACUCUUUCAUUUCCAUUGCUAAAAUUUUCACUGGUUCUUCUUUGUAAGUUAAGUCCAAUUGUACAUCAAUGGUUUCUACUGAAAUGACAUGUGAAGAGUCAUAUCUGUAUCUUCUUAACAUGGAUAUAUAAAAGAUAUUGUGUAUCUAUCUAACUCUAGAGGUAAAGCUAACCUAUAGGCUAUUGAAUCCACACAUUCAAUUAUGUCAUAUGGACCAAUAAACCUAGGGCUUAGCCUACAUUUUUACCAAAUCUUAGCACUUUCUUCCAUGGAGAAAUUUUUAAAAAUGCUUAUCCCCAACAACAAAUUCUAUAUCUUUUCUCUUCAAAUUUGUAUAGGAUUUUUGUCUAUCUGUUGCAGCUUCCAAUCUUUCUUUGAUAAUUUUCACUUUCUUCCCAGUCUGUCUUAUCAACUCUAAACCUACAAGUUUAGCUUCACUAAGUUCUGUCCAGCAUAAUGGGAUUCUACAUUUUCUGCCAUACAAUGCUUCAUAAGGGGCCAUCUUAAUGCUAGUCUAAUAACUAUUGUUAUAGGCAAAUUCUACUAGUAGAAGAUAUCUUUCCCAGCUUCUUUCAAAUGCAAUUGCAUAAUUUCUAAGCAUAUCUUCCAAAACUUGAAUUAUUCUUUCUGACUGAGGAUGAAAAGCUGUACUAAAAUUCAAUAUUGUACCUAGAGCUUCAUGUAGUUUUUCCUAAAAUCUAGAUGUGAAUCUUGGAUCUCUGUCUGAUAUGAUAGAGAUAGAAACACCAUAGUCUCACAAUUUCAUUAAUGUAUAAUUCUGCAUAUUUUUUCAAUGCAUAAUCCAUUAUGAUUGGCAAGAAAUGUGCUGAUUUAGUUAACUUGUCAACUAUUCCCCAAAUGACAUCUUUCUUCCUUGUUAUAAGUGGUAAUCCUGUUACAAAAUCCAUGGUAAUUCUAUUCCAUUUUCAUUUUGGUAUAGCGAUAGGCUGCAAUAAUCCUGAUGGAACCUGAUGUUCUGCUUUUAUCCAUUGACAUAUCAAACAUUUUGUUAUAAAUUCAACUAUAUCUCUUUUCAUACCUGGCCACCAAUAAUGCGCCUUUAAAUCUUGAUACACUUAGUGCUACCUAGAUGUAUAACAUAUGGAUUGUUGUGUGUCUUUAUAAGAAUACUAUGUUUUAACUCUCAAAAGUUAGGUAAACAUAUUCUGUUACUAUAGUACAAGUAGCCAUCAUCACUUAUCACAUGCUUAUGCUUCUUCCCCUCUUAUACUUGUCUAGUCCAUAAAGCUAUCUCUGUAUCUUCUUUCUGUACUUCUUUAAUUUGUUAUAGUAAGCUGAGUCUAACUUUUAAUUCUGCUAUGAUAGCUCCAUCAUCCACUAUAGUCAACCACGCAUUCAUUGCUCUUAAUGCAAAUAAGAAUUUCAUGCUGAGUGCAUCUGCUACCAGAUUAGCUUUGCAUGGGUGAUAAUCUAUAAUGCAAUCAUAAUCUUUCUGUAAUUCUAGCCAUCUUCUUUGUCUCAGGUUUAGCUCCUUUUGUGUGGGUAAGUAUUUCAGACUUUUAGGAUCUGUAUAAAUGUAACAUUUCUCACCAUAUAGGUAAUGCCUCUAUAUCUUUAGUUCAAAAACUGUGGCAGCCAACUCUAGAUCAUGGAUAGGAUAGUUCUUCUCAUAUGGUUUCAGUUAUCUAGAAGUAUAGGCAAUCACUUUACCUUCUUGCAUCAAAAUACAUCCAAGUCCAUUGUGAGAAGCAUCAUUAUAUAUCACAAAUUCCUUAUCAGAAAUAGGUUGUGUAAGUAUAGGUGCUUCAGUGAGCAUAGUCUUUAAUUUGUCAAAGCUUGCCUGACAUCUAUCAUCCCAAACAUACUUAACAUCCUUAUGUAGUAAUGUAGUCAGUGGAGCUACUAUAAGUGAAAACCCUUUCACAAACCGUCUAUAGUACCCAGCUGGACCCAAGAAACUUCUGACCUCUACAACAUUCUUUGGAGAAUUCCAUUCAAGAAUAACUUUAAUCUACUGUGGAUCUACCCUGAUUCCUUCUGCUGAUACAAUAUGUUCUAAAAAUGUUAUUUUAUUGAGCCAAAAAUCACAUUUACUGAACUUGGCAUAAAGUUGCUUUUCCCUCAGAGUCUACAAUACUACUCUCAAAUGCCUAUCAUGGUCUUCCCUAGUUUUAGAGUAUACCAGAAUAUCAUCAAUGAUACUAUAACAAACUGGUCUAAAUAUGGUAGAAGAUACGGUUUAUCAAAUCCAUAAAUGCUGCAGGUGCAUUUGUUAACCCGAAUGGCAUAACCAGAAACUUGUAAUGUCCAUAUUGUGUCCUGAAUGUAGUCUUAGGCACAUCUAUCCCUUUAACUCUCAACUGAUGGUAGCUCGAUCUCAAAUCUAUCUUAGAGAAAAUGUUGGCCCCUUUUAACUGAUUAAACAAAUCAUCUAUUCUGGGCAGUGAAUAUUCAUUCUUUAUAGUUAUCUUAUUCAACUGUUUGUAAUCAAUGCACAAUCAAAGAGAUCCAUCUUUCUUUUUCACGUAUAGCACUGGUGCACCCCAUGGUGAAGCACUAGGUCAAAUAAAGCCCUUAUAAAGUAAUUCUUGUAACUGUAUUUUCAACUCUUUUAAUUCUGUAGGAGCCAUUAUGUAAGGAGCAAUAGAAAUAGGUGCAGUGCUUGGCACAACUUCUAUAGCAAAAUCCACUUCCCUUUCUAUAGGUAACCUUAGUAAUUCUUCAGGAAAUACAUACGAAAAAUGACAUACUGUGGGUAAGUUUGACACACUAGGACCUUCCUUCUUAGUUUCAAUUACUCUAGCUAUAUAGGCUGUACAACCCUUUCUAAUCAACCUCCUAGCUGUAGUGGCAAAAAUGAUAUUAGAGAGGUAAUCUAACUUCUCACCCAGAACUAUAACCUCAAAACCCUCUAAUGUUCUAAUUGUAGCUCACUUUAACUUACAAUCAACUAUAAGUUGAUGUUUAGACAUCUAAUCCAUACCCAAAAUCACAUCAAACUCUCUAAAAGGUAACUCUAUCAAGUCACCUAAAAAGGUGUGACCUUGCACACAUAUAGGACAAUCUCUCUAAACUCUAUUCACAAACACAAGAUGUCCUAAGGGAUUGGUCACUGCUAUGUCAUAUUCUAAAGGUUCUACUUGAAUUCCCUUCUCAUUAGUGAUGGGUAUGCUGAUGUAUGAAUGUGUAGAACUAGGAUCAAUUAAUGCAUAAACAUAUUUACCAAAGAUGGAAAAUUUACCAACUAUAACAUAUGGUUUGUCUUGGUCUUUCUUUGUACGAAUAGUAUAUGCCCUGAUAGGUGCUCUAGUGUCUGGUCUUUCUACUGUCUCUGAUACUCUGUGACUGAAUAUUGCUAAAUUCACCUGUAUCUAUACCUCUGCUUUUAGGCCCUGUUGGCAUAGAUCUCUUUUUCUGUAUAGGCUGUACUGACUGACCUCUAGGACAAUCUCUCAUAAAGUGAUUUGUGCUGCAAUAUAGGUAGCAAGCCCCAAUUAAUCUCCUGCAUACUGCACUACGUCUCCUGAAUGCUCACAUACUGGUGGCAACCCUCUACCUGGUCCUCCUGUACUAGAUACCGAGCUAGUCUGCUAUCCAAACCUCAUUACUAAACUCUGCCUAAGUCUCUGACUCUGCAUAAGCGGUCCUCUUUGCCCUGUCUACUGAAAAUCCCUCUGUCUCUUGCUAGUUGCUUGAGAUGUAGAGGAUUAUCCUUUAUACUAGCACUGAACCCUCUUCUGUUUAAUUCGCUCUAAGCUGUGGGCCAUCUCCACUAAAAAUGAAAAUUCUCUUAUGUGCAUAGUUGUGAGGUAAAUCCUGAUAUCAGCAUGUAAACCUUGCUUGAAACAUUUACAUCUUUCUUCCUUUGUAGGAACUAUCUCUGUAGUAUACUUACUAAGCCUGACAAAUUCUCGCUCAUACUCAGUUACUGUAAGCCUGACCUAUCUGAGGUAUAAUAAUUUCCUCCUUCUUUCCUCUAUAUAUAAGACCCUAACAUAUUUCUUCUUAAACUCUGUCAAAAAGAAUUUCCAAUUCUGCUGCUCUAGUCGAAUUAUCUGUAUUAAUGUUGUCCACCAUCUAUAGGCUUCAUCUUUUAGUAGUGAUAUUGCACACAUUAAACUCUUUACUAGUGAACACUGUAACUGCUGUAAAAACCCUUCUAUACUUUCUAACCAAAAUUCUACAGUUAAAGGAUCAUCUUCCGUUUUACCUCUAAACUUUAUAGCACCAUACUUCCUGAGUUUUUCUAUUAGGGGCCUAGAUUAUGCUUGAGCUAGAACAAGUGGGGAAACCUAAACUGCUAUAGGUGGUGGUGGUAGUACUUCUUGCACAUUUUGUGUAACCCUACUAAGCAACUCAACUAUUUGCUAAAACACUGCAUCCUGUCUUAGUCCGUCAGCAGCGAUAGGUGGAGGAGCAGUGGUAGGUGCAGUUGCCUCAGAGGGAGCAUGGCUCUCUACCUCUUCAUCUACAACUCUCUGUGACUCAGAUGACAUCUUUUAAUAGACUUAAAGACAAAAAGAAGAGAUUUGCAUCACAACCAUAUCAUAACUGUAACUCAUUUUGGCAUGUAUAUACACGACAUAUAUACACAUACAUACUAUUACCUAGAAUUGCCUAAAUCUUUGCUCUGAUACCACUAAUUGUAAUACCCCCUUACCCUAUUAAGGUGUAGACAGAGCAAUAAUUGUCACAAACUAUACUUUCUUAGAUAUUUCAAAGCUAAACCAUUUCCUUUAUGUGUAACUACCAAGUUAUUAGGUAGUUCAUUGACUCGCGGUUGUCGAAGCCGGUCAAAAAUAACCUUUCUGGUUACCAACAAAUUUACACUUGUAGAUAGUGGUGAAAGGAUCGAAUCCACAGAGAAUUGAGAACUUACCUAUUUCUCUUUUUAUGAUCAAGAAAAUAAACUGAAAUGAUAAUAAACUAAAAAUGAGAUAAAAACUGAAAGCGGGAUAAAACGAGAUAAAUUAAAAUUGGGAUAAAAAACUGUCAGGAAAAUAACAGGGGGGUUUUGAGAUUGAUUGUAGUAAACUAAUAAUGAGAAUAAUAAUGGAAAGUAAAUAAUUAAAUAAAGAGUAAUCAAUAAUGAGAAAGCUCUAGUUGAAGUAUUGGAUCCACUUUAGUUGUUGGGAUUGAUCACAGACACUUUGUUCUUUUGGGUUGAUUCAAUAGAUUAGUUAUGGAGAUGGAAGACGCUUCUCACCACCUUUAUCUCUCCUUAUGAUUAAACCAAUUAGGGAACGUCCUCUAAUUAAUUACUAAUCAACAAGUUGCCAAGGAACGUCCUUGGGCCUCAGGCAACAAACAACUGUCAAUUGUAUUAAGAAAUAGAGAGAUCCAAUCCUAGCUACCUAAACGUAUGGAGAUAACGCUAGAUCAUGCAACUUCCUUGGUUUUUACACCAAGUGUUCCUAUGUAAGAAUAAUCUAAGCAAUUACGGACUUAAAUCAUUCAAACUAACAAAUAAUUAUUUUGAAAUAAAAAUCAACGUAGAUCUCAAUAACAAAAUAAUAUGAAAAUUAAGUAUGAAAUUGCAUGAAUAUUGAGUACCCAAAAGUUAAACAAUAUUUGAUCAAGUCUCACAACCCAUUAAACAACUAAAGCUUCAACCAAUAUUCAACUAGAUUAACGAAAUCAGCCACUCAUUGGCUGAAUUAAAAACAGAAAAAUAAAAGGGAAAAGAAAAAAAAAACCGAUGGAUCCGAAUUCUUCCUUGCGCAGAAGCUUUGCGGAAUUGCCGAGAGGAAUUGUGUUCUUCGGCCACUAAAGGCUCUUUUUAUAAGUGCAGAGGAGUGCACCCUGUAACAACCCUUACCCUAUCAAAGAGUAGACAGAGCAAGGAAUGUCACAAACUAUACCUUUUUAGAUAAAUCACAACUAAAUAAUUACCUUUAUCUGUAAAUACCAAGUUUUAAGGUAAUGCAUGUAAAUUUCAUCAAAUAAAUAUGAGAUUUUAAACCAAAAAGUUAACAGAGUCUCAUCUGUUUCAUUAAUAUUUCACACUGUAGCACAUGAAAAACACAUGAAAAAUUAUCAACUGAUAUUUGACAUCUUACUAUUCUUUGAUUACAUAACCUUUACAACUCACUCUAUUAAAUAUGUACAUGCCAAAAUAUAACUGCACUAUGACUCAGAGACUCAAAACAACCAGCUAUGAUAAUGGCCUUGGUAUCUGAUGUAGACCUCUGAUAAACUUCACGUGCCUACGUUAUCUACAACCUGCGUGAGGUAAAAACCAACACGCUGAGCUAAUGCUCAGUGGGUGAUAACAACAAAUAAUAGAAUAAAACAAACAAGCUCGCAUAAAUAGAUAAUCAAGUAAACAAUUACAAGCGAGUAGAUGUAAACAUGUUAACAUUCACCAAUAAGUUCACAAAAUCAAGUAUCAAUCUUAAUUAAGAUCUUAGCCCUUAUAACCACAUAGUAGGAUCGACUAGGUAGAUAAGGAGUUAUAACAGUAGGCACAGGGUGCCGAACGGUAGGCUCAGAGGCCAAAACUGUGAUAGCAGGUCUCUGUGGCCAUGCUUAUGAGGUACCAGAUAUGUAACCUCUAAUAUAGAUCAUGUAUCAGUAGCAGUACUGCGAACUCUGUAUGUUUAUAUGGCAUGCCAUACCCUUAAGCUAACCUCGACUCCUAUUACGUUUACCAGGGCCAAGUAUCAUUAACUUAAUGUAUCAAUGUAAAUGCAUGUCAUUUGAAGCUAUUUGAUUUCUUUUUCCAAAGUACAUAUAUCAUAUGCCAAGGUUUACAAUAUGGAAAACUCAUGACAAAUAGUGCAAAACUUUAUUGACUUAGCAUUUCAAUAUAGAAAACUACAUUCUGCCAUAUAUUACAUAAACUUUUCAAGCAGUUUAGAGUUACAAUUUGACUUCAGUUUCUCAUAAGAAAUGUACAUUUAUGUCUUAUCUUUCCAAAAAGGUAUGGUUCAUGCAAAUCGGAUGAUCCUAGCUUAAGUUAUGAAUUUUUCUUUACAAGCUGCUGAAUAAGGUCUUAAUCAGUCCAGUAUUGGUACUUGUUUAUAGUAUCACAAAACUUAUCAGAUUCAUACAUUUCCAUACAAAUUCAAGCUUAAAUGUCUUCUACAAAGUUUUAGGUAUACUUCUUAGGAUUCAUUUGGCACUGGUCUUAACAAAUUUCACUGAGUAUAUAAUUAAUUAUGGUACAAUCAAUACACACUGUUCCGAAUGCACUAACUCUGUGUCCAGUUUAGGUUCACUUGAAAUUUUCAUCAUCUUACGUACAGAUUCAGAAUUUGGUCAAUGCAUGAAAGUUUUAGAUAUUUGUCUUAUCUUUCAUUUGGUAUAUCUUAGGCCUAAUUUCAAUAUAUACAUAACAAGUUAUGAAGUUAGAAACACAAACUGUCCUGUUACAACCUAUUCUGCCAGAUUUACACUUUUAGCUCCCAUGUUAAAUUUCUUUACUCUAAGCCUUUCAAACAUCAUUUUAACAUUCAUAUAACAUAUUUAUACAAUCAAACCAACAUUUCCAGCAAGUAAAAUCAACCCCUAAUUUCACUUAUUCAUGGCAGAAUCAAAGGAAAAC